rnacentral:tRNA from 1 species
GGAGGUGACCGGUGCCUGGUGGUGCCCCUGGUCUUCAAAACCAGCGUGGGGUUCGCAAGGGCCCCAGGUGGGUUCGAUUCCCAUUCACCUCCGCCA